GGCAGGAUGGCCGAGUUGGUUAUGGCGCCAGGUUAAGGUCUUGAGAGUCUUAACAUCGAUAUCCUGGUUCGGAAACGAGCGUGGGUUCAAGUCCCACUUCUGUCA
rnacentral:tRNA from 1 species